rnacentral:rRNA from 1 species
AGUGAACGCUGGCGGCAGGCCUAACACAUGCGAGUCGAACGGCAGCACAGUAAUAGCUUGCUCUUAUGGGCGGCGAGUGGCGGACGGGUGACGUAAACAUCGGAAUCUACAUUUUCGUGGGGGUUCACGUAGGGAAACUUACGCUAAUACCGCAUACGACCUACGGGUGAAGGCAGGGGAUCUUCGCACCUUGCGCGAUUGAAUGCGCCGAUGUCGGAUUGGCUAGUUGGCGGGGUAAAGACCCACCAAGGCGACGAUCCGUAGCUGGUCUGAGAGGAUGAUCAGCCACACUGGAACUGAGGCACGGUCCAGACUCCUGCGGGAGGAAGCAGGGGAGAAUAGGGGGCAAUGGGCGCAAGCCUGAUCCAACCAUACCGCGUGUGUGAAGAAGGCCGUCGGGUAGUAAAGCCCUUUUGUUGGGAAUGAAAAGCAGCAGGUUAAUACCCCGCGGUACUGACGGUACCCGAAGAAGAAGCACCGGCUAACUUCGUG